rnacentral:rRNA from 1 species
AAAUUGAAGAGUUUGAUCAUGGCUCAGAUUGAACGCUGGCGGCAGGCCUAACACAUGCAAGUCGAACGGUAACAGGAAGCAGCUUGCUGCUUCGCUGACGAGUGGCGGACGGGUGAGUAAUGUCUGGGAAACUGCCUGAUGGAGGGGGAUAACUACUGGAAACGGUGGCUAAUACCGCAUAACGUCGCAAGACCAAAGAGGGGGACCUUCGGGCCUCUUGCCAUCAGAUGUGCCCAGAUGGGAUUAGCUUGUUGGUGAGGUAACGGCUCACCAAGGCGACGAUCCCUAGCUGGUCUGAGAGGAUGACCAGCCACACUGGAACUGAGACACGGUCCAG